rnacentral:lncRNA from 1 species
CUCACACCUUCAUAUUCUUCUUAAAAACGUAUGCUCCACAAGAACAGAGACAAUGUUGUACAAUAAGGAGGACAUUUAGUAAGUUUCUAGACUUGCCCUCAACUUCCUACCUCUCAACACUGGACAGCACUGAAUGCAUAUACAAGACAGUCAAGGUUCUUUGUCUCCUAAACCAGAACCCUCUCCACCCAAAUAAACAAAGAAAUCCAUGAACAAGUCCCAUAGACUGAGUGGAACAGUGUGAAAGAAGCAGUGCCUAUGUUUCACUCUAUAUCACUUCCUUUUUAUAAACAUUCCUGAGAUAACAUUGCACUGUAAAUGAGAAGAAAGAUGCAUCUGAAAGUAGUCCUAAGUGCAAAUAACCUCU